UUUUUUAACUUUCUAAAACAACUUCAUAAAUAGGAGAAGUGGUGUGAUGAGAAGAGCCUACAAAUGUAAAUGUAUCUAAAUUGAAGGAAAGAUCAAAAUUGGUUUACUAGUUAAACAGACAAACACCAUGACCAAGGAGAAACAGACAAAGAUACAAAGAAGCUCAUAAAUACUUCAUUGGAAACUAAUGACAGAAGAACAGAAACCCUACUAAUAAUCGGGUUAAACUUAGGUGUUCCAAAAUGUAACAGCUCCUGAUUUACUAUAUGCCGUGUUUCUCAGGCCAAGACAAGCUGAUCUCUUGCUUUGGCCCGGAAAUGACUCGACGGAGAAAUACUUAUAUGAACACCUAGUAAAAACAAUUGGUACUGAAAUCCACAUACGAAAUAGACAACGACUUUUUAUCAUAAAAGAUGUGAUCGAAAAUACAGAGUUGACUUAUUCUACACACAUAUCAAGUGGAAGUUUGGCAGAAGGACUCGAAUUACCAGGCAGUGACCUCGAUUUAAUGAAUGUAAUUGAUGACGUAGACGUAUUACAAAAUGAAAGGAAUAUCAAAUACCCAAUACAUUGUACUACACUAAUUAUGGAGACAGAUAUUGAUCAUCCUGGAUUUACUAGACUUCGAUUGGUAGCAAAAGAGGAUGGGGAAUCCAUCCUUGUUCUAUGUGCCGGUGAAAGAUAUUAUCUAUCAGUAAGCAGCUUUAAUUGAUAGUUUUAAGAAAAUGUAUACUAAUAUGCCGGUUUUUUUACACGGUCCAUGUCUAUCAGACGAAGACCAGACACAUGAUAUUGCAUUCUGCUUAUGGAGUAAAUAUCUUCCUCACAACAUGAUUCCAUGGUCUUCGACGCCAAUGGCCCCCUAAUUUUGUAAUUGACAGGAUCAUCAAUUACGGCUGCUUGUUAGUACCUAUAGGAUCUAAUGCGUUAUCAUAUAGUGACUUAUUAUGGAGAUUGUCUUUCUCUGUGGCAGAAAAACUACUUGUACAUUCCUUUAAUUUCACUCAACUUUUAUGUUACGGUCUUCUCAAAUUAACAUUAAAGCGUAUCGUUAACAAAAAAGAUCAUGUCAGAGACUUACUGUGUUCUUACUUUCUUAAGACGUCUUUAUUCUGGGUUUCAGAGGAAGUGGAUAUUGACACAUUUCAAUUACCGAACUUGUUCAAAUGUUUUUUUCUCUGCAUAAACAAAUUAAGAGCAUGGGUAAACAACUGUUAUUGACCAAACUAUUUUAUACCUGAGCAAAAUAUGUUCUUAAGAAAGAUCACUCCAGAUAACAAUAAACUCCUACUAAGUGUUAUUGAUAGCAUAAAGUUUGAUGGAAUUGAUGGGUUGAUGAAUACUAUAUUUCCGCUCGACAAUAAACAUUAUCGUUUAUUAUGUUCAAACAGUGAACAUUCAUUAAUUAUGCUAGAUUUCCUAUUUUACCGGAUUUGCUCGAUAUUGCCUCCUUCAGACAUUUCACAUUGGUAUAAAGUACAAACAUUCAUUGAAUCAUUACUUAAGUCCGAAUCAUCUUCAUUUAUCAUUGGUGUAUGUAAAUACAAAUAUGCGAUAAUUAGUCAUUAUGCAGCACAACUACUACCAUCACUGACCACAACUACAACAACUGCAAAGUACAACAUACACAAACUGUAUCAUAGUCACAUGCAAGUCGGUUUGAAGACAGAUGCUGUGUCUGGAUGGUUGUUAUAUGCAUCGUUUUAUUAUGUAACAAAACAGUACAGUGUAACACUCAGGCUAUUAGAUUAUGUUCUAUCAAAGUGUACACCUAAUACUGUAGUGGUAGACCGUGUUACUAGUACAAAUGAAGAUUUAGGCUUUGUCAACUAUGAUGUAAGAUAUAUAAAUAUGUAUAGACAAAGUGUAAAUUCUAAAAUGUCAUUGAAUGACAGGAUGAAAAUAGCCGUUUUAAGCAAUAUCAGGUUCCUACAACACUCGUCAUUAAUACCAGAAGAGCUACAGCUAGAGGUGAAAGACAAGGAUUUGGACAUACAUCCUGUCGUGUUG